UACAACUAGCCCGUGCCAAGCACUAGGGCGAGAACCAUUACAAAAGAAACAAAAGACCUAGACUAGGCUAGUCUAUACUCUCAUCCUGCUCGCCGUCCCCUGUUAAGGAAAACAAAACUAAAGGGGUGAGCUAAAAGCUCAGUGAGGUUCCAAACAGAUAAUCAAACAAUCAAACAAUCAAUUCAAUACAUUAAACAUGGAGUAUCAAUAAUUCAAGAAACAUUUACAAUGGAAAGCAAUAGUAACAUUCAUUAAAAGGAUACGGCUCACAAGGAGCAAUUCGUUCAUUCGUUCAUUCGUUCUCCUGACAUUUCCCCUUAUUCCUCCAAUCAUUUGAAAAUGCAUUUUUCGUUUAUCAAUAAACCCUCGUUCGUUCGUUCGUUCAUUCAUUCAUUCACCCCCGUCCUGGCCGUUGGCCAGUCUCCACCAACCUACAGGGUAAUACUCGAGUAUACCAAACGUUCACCCAAGUCCCUAAUCGCCCGACCGAGUCCGCUUCUGGCUCGAGACGACCGGUAACAAGGGGCAAUGGCCAGUUCAGCCCAAAAGGCUUACAUUCAUGCGCAAGUAACAUUUCAAUCAUUAAAUCCUUGAAAAUUGCACAGUUAUUUAGGUCGAGUGCGAUAAAGUACACACUCGCCUAGAAAGCUCGUUUUGGAAAUCAUUAAAAGCAAUUAACACAUUAGCAAAUGAUAACAACAAGCCAUAAAGUCAAAUAAGGAACACUCACCUAGAUAUGCAAAAUAACGUGCAAAAUAUCCUUCCGGAUAUUACCCUUAGUCACCAAUGAAACCUAAAGUUGAACAAGAGAACAUAUUACAGUUUAUCGAGCAAAACAUUUAAGGGAAACAAAGAAACCCGACUAAUUAGGAGUAAAACGUGUAAAGAUGACUUUCAAGUAAGAAGAGGGUUGUUUGAACCCCAGGAUGAAAAAUCAUGUUUUAAAAUGGAAAACCGGUCAUGGUAUUGGCCAACCAAAAGUAUACAAGUUCAAAUAGAAACCUAGCCCUCGAGCGAAAAUUUGGGCAGCACGCCCUUUGUGUUUACCUAAUUUUCCAGCCAUUUUGGCUUCAUUAUUUUUUCUCAACCACAACCCAACAUCACACAUAAGCAAUUCAAGUCAAGAGCCGUUCCAUAGGCUCACAAUAUCAUAAGAAUAAGAAUUACAACAAUCACAAGUGCAGAAAUUCAACUUAGCACAAGACAGAUUUGACGUACGAAUGCGGAAAUAACAUAUCUGAAGCUACGCUUAUCGAAUUGAGACGAAAACUAUGCCGUUUCGAAGCUAAGACACAGAGCUACAACAUUCAUGAAGAUCACUUAGUCCAGUUCCUAAUGUAACUUAGUCAAAUUCUCAAAUUACUAAACCAGAAACCAAUUCGUCGGCUGUUUCAACGCAGAACACUGUAAUGGACAUAUCUCAGAGUACACAAGUCCAAAUCAGGUGUUCUUAGAGGCAUUUGAAAGCUAUUUCAGAAUACUACAACUUUCAUGUUUUGCCAAAAAGCUAAAUCAGAAUGGAUCCUAGUCGAAAAACGUGAUAAACUGGACUUAACUGAUCACACGAACUGCUUGGGAAAUACUUAAAACAGUAAGGGUAUUUUGGACUUUUCACGUCCUACGUUACUCCGAUUGAGCUGAAAUUUUGUAGGCACCUAUAAAAUACCAUUCUCUACAACUUUCCUUCUUUGACCUAAGGCCAAAUCAGCCUCUAACAUACAGAUACAAAUUCGGACAGAAAGUUGGGAAAAAUUUUCCAGAUUCUGAAAUUUUUUGUAACCAAUGGAACUUUCUCAAUUUUCUUGUUCUAAUCACUACCAAAACACCUUAUACAACCUUAAUUGCAACAUACAAGCAUCAUACAACAAAUUGGGCAGGAAUUCCUCAAGCCCUAGUUCAUCCUAUAAAAGGGAAAAACCUCCAAAUUCAUCACACCCACUUGCAUAAUCAUGAAAUCAAGCCAAAACUUAAGCUAAAAACACAUCUUAAAGCAAGAUUCAAAGCAACAAAGAUCAUGAUCAAAUGUUGGUACCUCAAAAGCAAGGCUUGGUAGAGUGAUCCUUCACCCCCUUUGAUUUUUUCUUGGUUCCUCAAGCUUCCCAACUCACACUUAGUACUUUAAUCGGUUUACUUUGUUUGAUUUCUCACUUAGUUGUUGGAUUGAAGAAGAAAUGGAGAAGUUUUUCUCUUGUUUUUCCUCUCUCU
rnacentral:lncRNA from 1 species